ACUCCUACGGGAGGCAGCAGUGAGGAAUAUUGGGCAAUGCCCGGAAGGGUGACCCAGCAACGCCGCGUGGAGGAUGAAGGCCGUAAGGUUGUAAACUCCUGUUAGAGGGGAAGAAAAAUCCCGAUCGAAUCGGGAACUGACUGUACCCUCAGAGGAAGCCCCGGCUAACUACGUGCCAGCAGCCGCGGUAAUACGUAGGGGGCAAGCGUUGUCCGGAUUCACUGGGUGUAAAGGGCGCGUAGGCGGGUUAGCAAGUCAGAGGUGAAAUCUCCCGGCUCAACCGGGAAACUGCCUUUGAAACUGUUAAUCUUGAGUGCGGAAGAGAGAGACGGAAUUCCAGGUGUAGCGGUGAAAUGCGUAGAUAUCUGGAGGAACACCGGUUGCGAAGGCGGUCUCUUGGUCCGUAACUGACGCUCAGGCGCGAAAGCGUGGGUAGCAAACAGGAUUAGAUACCCUGGUAGUC
rnacentral:rRNA from 1 species